rnacentral:rRNA from 1 species
UACGUAGGGGGCAAGCGUUGUCCGGAAUCAUUGGGCGGUAAAGAGCGCGUAGGCGGCCCUGUAAGUCCGCUGUGAAAGUCAAGGGCUCAACCCUUGAAUGCCGGUGGAUACUGCAGGGCUAGAGUCCGGAAGAGGCGAGUGGAAUUCCUGGUGUAGCGGUGAAAUGCGCAGAUAUCAGGAGGAACACCGAUGGCGAAGGC